AAUAUUUGUAAUUUUCUUUAAAAUUACCUUGGUAUUUAUUUGCUUAUGAUAUAACUAAAUUUGAUAAACUAAUAAUCCUUAGAACUUUCUGGGUGAUUACGAAAAAUAUUCUUUUUUUUUUUUUUUUUUGGUAAGAAAAUUGGGUUACACGAAUAAUACAGUAUAUUUACAAUAUAGACCAACAUUUACCAUGAUGUUGUUAAAAGUACCUAGUUUUCGUGUUUUUCUGAGUGUUUAAAAUUCUGAAAAUUGAGUGUUAAGUGGAAAUGGGAGGUUUUUGUUUUAAUAUUUAAUUGAUUAAUUAUAUUUAUUUAAGUUAAGCCAAUCAUAUAAUGCGCUUAUAUAUAGGGGGAUUUUCCCGCCUUUCCCUUUGCCACAAAGAUCAGAGAUCGUGCAUCCGACAUAUGGUGGUCAGAAUCCCGCUGGGGGCUUACUAGAUCCAACUGGAUUGUGUUGUGCCAAGUUUUCCUAUCGAAGACCUGGCUCCCCAACCCCCCCACAAAUCACUACUGCCACCUGGCACCGCUGAGAUCUACGUAUUCCCCAGAUCGUAAGAGGAGAAUGGAUAAUGGUUAGUGGAUACUGGAUACUGGAUGGUUGGGGAACAGAGAAUCGGAUCGCGAUGGAAAGCGUUUGGGGGUGCGGCUUUCGGGUCUCAGGAAUGCCACCACUUUGGUCACCAUUUGAAAACCAACUCUGUAACAGGUUCACAGCAAAUAAACGCAAACAAAGUGACCAAGAAACAUAUAUGGAAGUUGGUAGGAUAGCUAGAACGACUUGCAGAUACUUUAUAAAAGCCGCCUGCUCUCUCGCCCUCUCUUUCUAAGCCCGUAGUGCUCUCUCUUUCACCGGCCGCUGCAGAAACGUGCGGCUAAGCCCAAGGCCAAUUGGCAAAUUGAAAGCGGAGUCGGCGUUCUAAUUGGAAUCCACUUACAAGCGCCGCUCCGCUGCAGAGAAUCACUCAGUUAUAUGGCAAAAAAGUAAGUAUAUAACAAAUUAUAACUAUACAAAACAAUAAAAGCAGGAACUGCGAACGGGGGCUGUGCGGAUCAAGAAACUGCCAACCCUGAGAAUCCGAAUGAGACACUCUUGUCAGCCGGUUCCAAAAAUAAUAAUAAUGCCAUGUGCACGCAUACCAUACCUAUCUAUAUACCUCCUCUAACCUAUGCUUGUUUUUCUAUAUUUCUUGCGACAUGGACACUUUGAAUUUCAAGACCCAUCUUAUUAAAUAUUCUUUGUGCCGCUGCUGCCUCUCAGAUUCUUUUUUUUUCUGAAGUAAACAAAUCGGUCAACGGGCAACGGACUCGGGCACGUUUUUGGCAAAAAACGUUAAAAAGAAGUAUAUUUUGGCAGACCAAAGCUGAUAUACCCUUUCAGGUAUAAACAAAUAGAUAAGAUAAAAUAGAUAAAAUUAUUUCGAAACAUAACAGGGUUGUUAAAAUUUGGAACAAUACAUAUUCGUUGAACUGAGCGAUUAAUUCUUUAGAAAACCGAUGGAUAAGUCAAGAAAACCAUGCUAUCAAGCUAUUUUUUUUGUUAAACCUAAACAAACACACACCUCAAAAAACCAUUAAUCAAAAUACCCUUUUAAAGGGUAUACAAAUAAGAAAUAAAACACUCGUAUAAAUAAAGCUUCCGCAAUGGCAAAAAACUCUCGGCUCCUCUUAUCGUUCACCAGAUGGCCUUUUUGCCUUCAACUGUGUGUGUUUUUUUUUAACCAUUUUUUCGCUCAGUGAUGGCGCUUCUUCUUGUGCUGUCAGCGGGUUGGGCAAUUUUUCAUGAGAUCUCAAAAACCCCGACGAGUUCGAAGAACUCCGAAAUCGAAAACAUAAACAAUAUCCGAGAGAUAUAAAAAUUUGCAAGCAAAAUGGCCGACAGGUUUGGCUCACAUUAUAAACUAUUAGAAGCGGUUCAGGUUAACGUUGUUGGCCAACAUCGAGUCGGCCGACUGCAGAAACAAUAACAAAUACUGGCCGAAACCCAGGCAACAACAACAGCUGAGAGGCAACAACAAAAGAGCUCGGAUCACUGGUAUUUUUAGUAUGUGGCGCUGAUUUACAAGGUGAACGGGUAAGGUAGC